rnacentral:rRNA from 1 species
UACGUAGGCGGAAAAUUAAGUCAGUAGUGAAAUCCUGCAGCUUAACUGUAGAACUGUUAUUGAUACUGGUCUUCUUGAAUAUAGUUGAGGUAGGCGGAAUGUGUAAUGUAGCGGUGAAAUGCUUAGAUAUUACACAGAACACCGAUUGCGAAGGCAGCUUACUAAGCUAUGAUUGACGCUGAGGUACGAAAGCGUGGGGAGCGAACAGGAUUAGAUACCCUGGUAGUCC